rnacentral:rRNA from 1 species
UACAGAGGUCUCAAGCGUUGUUCGGAUUCAUUGGGCGUAAAGGGCGCGUAGGCGGCGGGGUAAGUCGGGUGUGAAAUCUCAGAGCUCAACUCUGAAAUGGCACUUGAUACUGCUCUGCUAGAGGAGUGGAGAGGAGGUUGGAAUUCACGGUGUAGCAGUGAAAUGCGUAGAUAUCGUGAGGAAGACCGGUGGCGAAGGCGGAUCUCUGGACAGUUCCUGACGCUGAGGCGCGAAGGCCAGGGGAGCAAACGGG